rnacentral:ncRNA from 1 species
AAAUAGACAGGGAAUAAAACGAAGUAGUGACGAAGCCAAUGUUUCAGGAAGCUAGUGGAUGCUGCGAACUAGUACAAGCUUUUGCAUGAAUUACAUUUUAGGAGUCUAUGGCACACAGCCACGCGACAGCGUUACAUGUUUGAGUGAUAUGUUUUUUAGGAAACAUAUAAACUGGGUGGUACCGCGAGUAAAUUCGUCCCUUGA